rnacentral:rRNA from 1 species
UGGCCCAGAUCGUUUACCGUGAAAAAAUUAGAGUGUUCAAAGCAGGCAGAUCCAAUUUUCUGCCACCGAAUACAUUAGCAUGGGAUAAUGGAAUAGGACCCUGUCCUCCUAUUUUCAGUUGGUUUUGGCAGCGCGAGGACUAGGGUAAUGAUUAAUAGGGAUAGUUGGGGGCAUUAAUAUUUAAUUGUCAGAGGUGAAAUUCUUGGAUUUAUGAAAGAUUAACUUCUGCGAAAGCAUCUGCCAAGGAUGUUUUCAUUAAUCAAGAACGAAAGUUAGGGGAUCGAAGACGAUCAGAUACCGUCGUAGUCUUAACCAUAAACGAUGCCGACCAGCGAUUAGGAGACGUUGAAUACAAAACACCACCAUCGGUGCGGUCGUCCUUGGCGGUUGGUCUUCAAAAGCCAGCGGCGGGGGUGGCUUAGCCCGGUGGCACCGGUGAAUGACUCCCCUAGCAGCUUGUGAGA